UACAGAGGGGGCAAGCGUUGUUCGGAAUUACUGGGCGUAAAGGGCGCGUAGGCGGUUCGUACAGUCAGACGUGAAAUUCCUGGGCUCAACCUGGGGGCUGCGUUUGAUACGUGCGGGCUUGAGUGCGGAAGAGGGUCGUGGAAUUCCCAGUGUAGAGGUGAAAUUCGUAGAUAUUGGGAAGAACACCGGUGGCGAAGGCGGCGACCUGGUCCGAUACUGACGCUGAGGCGCGAAAGCGUGGGGAGCAAACAGG
rnacentral:rRNA from 1 species